GAUGAACGCUGGCGGCGUGCCUAAUACAUGCAAGUCGAGCGAACGGACGAGAAGCUUGCUUCUCUGAUGUUAGCGGCGGACGGGUGUGUAACACGUGGAUAACCUACCUAUAAGACUGGGAUAACUUCGGGAAACCGGAGCUAAUACCGGAUGAUAUUUUGAACCGCAUGGUUCAAUAGUGAAAGACGGCCUUGCUGUCUCUUAUAGAUGGAUCCGCGCUGCAUUAGCUAGUUGUUAAGUUAACGGCUUACGAAGGCAACGAUGCAUAGCCGACCGGAGAGGGUGAUCGGCCACACUGGAACUGAGACACGGUCAUGGCGCCUGCGGGAGGCAGCAGUAGGGAAUGUUCCGCAAUGGGCGAAAGCCUGACGGAGCAACGCCGCGUGAGUGAUGAAGGUGUUGGGAUCGUAAAACUCGGUUAUUGGGGAAGAACAGAUGUGUAAGUAACUGUACACAUCUUGACGGUACCGGAUAAGAAAGCAACGGCUAACUACGUG
rnacentral:rRNA from 1 species